GACGAACGCUGGCGGCGUGCCUAAUACAUGCAAGUCGUGCGGACCUUUUAAAAGCUUGCUUUUAAAAGUUUAGCGGCGGACGGGUGAGUAACACUUGGGCAACCUCCCUGUAAGACGGGGAUAACGCCGGGAAACCGGGGCUAAUACCAGAUCGUUUUUUCCUCCGCAUGGAGGAAAAAGGAAAGGCGGCUUCGGCUGCCACUUACAGAUGGGCCCGCGGCGCAUUAGCUAGUUGGCGGGGUAACGGCCCACCAAGGCAACGAUGCGUAGCCGACCUGAGAGGGUGAUCGGCCACAUUGGGACUGAGACACGGCCCAAACUCCUACGGGAGGCAGCAGUAGGGAAUCUUCCGCAAUGGACGAAAGUCUGACGGAGCAACGCCGCGUGAGUGAAGAAGGCCUUCGGGUCGUAAAACUCUGUUGCCGGGGAAGAACAAGUGCCGUUCGAACAGGGCGGCGCCUUGACGGUACCCGGCCAGAAAGCCACGGCUAACUACGUG
rnacentral:rRNA from 1 species